AUUGAACGCUGGCGGCAUGCUUUACACAUGCAAGUCGAACGGUAACAGGCCGCAAGGUGCUGACGAGUGGCGAACGGGUGAGUAAUGCAUCGGAACGUGCCCAGUCGUGGGGGAUAACUACUCGAAAGAGUAGCUAAUACCGCAUACGAUCUAUGGAUGAAAGCGGGGGACCGUAAGGCCUCGCGCGAUUGGAGCGGCCGAUGUCAGAUUAGGUAGUUGGUGGGGUAAAGGCCCACCAAGCCCACGAUCUGUAGCUGGUCUGAGAGGACGACCCGCCACACUGGGACUGAGUCACGGCCCAGACUCCUACGGGAGGCAGCAGUGGGGAAUUUUGGACAAUGGGCGCAAGCCUGAUCCAGCAAUGCCGCGUGCAGGAAGAAGGCCUUCGGGUUGUAAACUGCUUUUGUACGGAACGAAACGGCUCUGGUUAAUACCCGGGGCUAAUGACGGUACCGUAAGAAUAAGCACCGGCUAACUACGUG
rnacentral:rRNA from 1 species